rnacentral:rRNA from 1 species
CACGUAGGGCGCAAGCGUUGUCCGGAAUUAUUGGGCGUAAAGAGCUCGUAGGCGGUCUGCUACGUCCGCUGUGAAAACCUAGGGCUUAACCCUGGGCUUGCAGUAGAUACGGGCAGACUAGAGGUAGGUAGGGGAGUCUGGAAUUCCUGGUGUAGCGGUGAAAUGCGCAGAUAUCAGGAGGAACACGGUGGCGAAGGCGGGACUCUGGGCCGAUACUGACGUGAGGAGCGAAAGCGUGGGGAGCGAACAGG